rnacentral:rRNA from 1 species
UAGGGAAUCUUCGGCAAUGGACGGAAGUCUGACCGAGCAACGCCGCGUGAGUGAAGAAGGUUUUCGGAUCGUAAAGCUCUGUUGUAAGAGAAGAACGAGUGUGAGAGUGGAAAGUUCACACUGUGACGGUAUCUUACCAGAAAGGGACGGCUAACUACGUGCCAGCAGCCGCGGUAAUACGUAGGUCCCGAGCGUUGUCCGGAUUUAUUGGGCGUAAAGCGAGCGCAGGCGGUUAGAUAAGUCUGAAGUUAAAGGCUGUGGCUUAACCAUAGUACGCUUUGGAAACUGUUUAACUUGAGUGCAGAAGGGGAGAGUGGAAUUCCAUGUGUAGCGGUGAAAUGCGUAGAUAUAUGGAGGAACACCGGUGGCGAAAGCGGCUCUCUGGUCUGUAACUGACGCUGAGGCUCGAAAGCGUGGGGAGCGAACAGGAUUAGAUACCCUGGUAGUCCACGCCGUAAACGAUGAGUGCUAGGUGUUGGAUCCUUUCCGGGAUUCAGUGCCGCAGCUAACGCAUUAAGCACUCCGCCUGGGGAGUACGACCGCAAGGUUG